UCUGUGGUGUUGGACGGGAUCCUGGAGCAGCUGGAGGACAGUGACCGUGACGGCGAGGAGCAGACACUUCAGCUGUGAGCUGGCACAGAGGGCUGCCAUACAAGAAUUCCCACCUACAUCCAUCCAGUCAGUGGUUAGACUAGCAGAAGGACUAACAGAGCAGGCAGCCCAGAGAUGUCUGCAUCAGUGGGAUCAGGAACCUGGAUUCCUCCAGGGACACCUCCGAGUAACUACUGAGGCCUCGGGCUCCAAGUCGAGCCUGUCACCAACGCCAGCGGCGUCCACUCCCAAGCAGGGCUGUGGACACACCGCAAACCUCACUCCUGGCCAGAAGCGACCCCAGGCUUUGCCCAGAGCCAGGCACCUGCGUGUAGCGCGUCCGCUCCCACUGCAGCCUGCAGGGCAACUCCCGUGGCAGGGCCACGCCAGCGCCAGCCAGCGGGCGAGACGCUGCCCAGCAGAGACGGCCAGGCCGCAGCUUGCACCUGAGUCCCAGCAGCCACCCCGGCCCGCAACCACAGGCCAGGGCACCCUGGAGCCGCGGUCAUUGCUCUGUCAUUGGGGUUGACCACAGUCAGCGAGCCGAGGAGUAAAGCUCAGGACGUUCCCGCG